rnacentral:misc_RNA from 1 species
AAACUUUUCAAAAACUUGAAAAACUUUUACUCUGCACAAAAAUGUGCAACGUUUUGUGAAAAUAUGUUAUGUCAAUCUCGUGUAUGAAUAUUGCAGUGUUUACAAAUGAUCCAACCCGACACGACACAAGGAUCAAAUAAGAACAAAGAUAUGAAGGAAGAUACAGUGCCACCUCUAGCUGGCAGACAUAUAUUCACAGGUGUAAAGAUCUUGGCUCAUCAUAGUGAUAUUGUACGACAUCUAAUAUGGAUUGAUCAUUACAGACUGGCCUCCGCUGGGGAUGAUUGUGUUGUGGUUGUCUGGGAUGUACAGAUGGGUGUGAAGCUGAAGGUGCUAGUUCAACACAAUCUACCAAUCACAUGUAUGAUGAUUAUUCACCCCGAACCUGACAUCACUGAUAGUUUACUGCUUGUCACAGGGUCUUCAGACAAGCAACUAUGUGUUUGGAAUGUCGAUACAGGCAGAUGCAUGCAAGUAAUCAAGGAUCACCAUAGUCCUGUUAAGCUGAUAUCCACUCGAUGCUUCUCUUGAAUGAUGAUUGGAUAGUGGCUGCAACUGGGGACAAACUCAUGGUUUAUGGUGUACUUCGAGGGUCAGAUGAUAUUCCAGAAUGCAGGAUCAAAAGGCUGAAGCGUCUCACUGCAACAGAACACAGGGACUCCAUACAUUGCAUCAUACAUGUAUCAGAGCAUACGUUUGCCAGUGGAUCUAUAGAUGGCAGUAUAGUGUUAUGGUGCAGUAAGACGCUAGCCCCUUUUCGGUUCUUCAUGCAGCCAUUCAGCCAUAAUGUUGUGGGGAAUGAAGGAGAAAAACACGACUUCCCCCUUAGUAUUCAACAUAUGAUUGCCUUUCAACAUGUUCAACAAAGGUUCCUGCUUACAACCCUUGGUAAUGGGUUCUGUAUAUAUGAUGUGGAAACUGGGAAGAUGCUCGCAGAGAACAAACAGGCCCAUAACUCAAAGAUUCUAUAUGUUUGCCUGGUAAAGAACAACUCUGUUCUGGCCACAUGUAGUGAGGAUGGUAGGCUGAUGCUAUGGGGAUGCAUCAGGGAACAAGCUGAUGUGUUGGAUGAUAACAUAUUCAAUAGACUCCUGGGUACCAGCCAGGUAGAUUUUCCAAAGUCUUGUGACAGCAAGCGUGUCCUUAAACUCAAGCAUAUUGGUGAAUGUAAAGGACAUUCCGGUGCAAUACAGAUGUGUGUCAACAAUGGUAACAAUGGGCUUAUCAGCUGCGGUAGUGAUGGCUUGGUCAUGGCAUGGUCGAAUGCUGCCCAGGAUGCCAUGUCCCUGAAUAGGCUAAUACAAGGCAUCGUGUUUGGAACUAGAUGAUGAUCAGUAUUAACGAAAUUAGAUUUUAAGUGCUUUAUACAACCACAUUGUGGACCAUGUGAUAUUUUACAGUGUCAGAGAUUACUAUAUAUUUUUAUACAAGCAAAAUAAUAACAAAUGUGGACUGAUAUUAUAUUUUAUAGUAGCUAAUUACAAACAAUACACAGGCCCGUAGCCAGAAUUUU